rnacentral:lncRNA from 1 species
GUUGUUGGUUUUCGUGGUUUUUGCUACCUUUCCGUAUAUUUUUGGUAAUUCUUUUGUACCUGUUUAUGUAUUAUAAGCUCUACAAUUUACUAUUUUCUUUAUAUGUGCCGACCUUAUAAAAAUAUCUGCUUUUUUGCUUAGUAACAUUCUUAUUUGUUCUUUAAUCUCAACUGCAAUCAGAAACUGAAGUUGUUAAUUCUGCA